AGUGUAGGCGGCUACUUAAGUCGGAUGUGAAAGCCCCGGGCUCAACCUGGGAAUUGCAUUCGAUACUGGGUAGCUAGAGUUUGGUAGAGGUAAGUGGAAUUCCGGGUGUAGCGGUGAAAUGCGUAGAUAUCCGGAGGAACAUCAGUGGCGAAGGCGGCUUACUGGACCAAAACUGACGCUGAGGCUCGAAAGCGUGGGGAGCAAACAGGAUUAGAUACCCUGGUAGUCC
rnacentral:rRNA from 1 species